rnacentral:rRNA from 1 species
GGGAAGUCCUCGAUUUUGCCCCC